UUACAGAUGAAAUUAAGAAUGCUGAUCAGCUAAAGGACCUUCACAUACAAAGGUUAUCCUGGAUUAUUCAGGUGGGCUCAACGUAAUCACAAGGAUCCUUUAAAGUGGAAGAAUGAGGUCAGAGUGAUGUGAUGUGAAAAGCACUCAAUUUGCCUUUGCUAGUUUUGAAGAUGGAAGAAUGGGGCCAUGGUCCAAGGCAUGCUGGUGACCUCUAGAAGCUGAAAAAGUUAAGAAAAUGGAAAAGAAACUUCAGCGCAGUGAGGCCCAAUUUGGACUUCUGACUCCAGAACUGCAAGAUAAUACAUUUGUAUCCAUUAAGCCACUAAGUUUGUGCUAAUUUGCUAUGGCAGCAACAGGAGACUAAUACACCUUGGCAGGUAGAGGUAGUCCUCCUCUGGGGCAAACAUAUAAGCAUGCUUACUAUACAAUAUAAUAAGGAUGAUGUCUCUUUCCAGGACAUAGGCAGGCAUGCUUAUUUCCUGUUAUAAAAUAUUCAGGUUUUCUAAGUUCAGUUUUUUGUUUUUUUGUUUUUUUUUUGCUGGAACACAAUUGACUGUGGAUGCUGGUAUUAUCUAGCCCUAUUUGCAUCACCUUGCGGGUACUGGGGUUUGGAGGAAUUGGCUCAGAUGCUGAUACCGUGGCUACUACUAUUGUGGUGAGUAAUAGCCUCUCAUUUGCCUGUAAUCCAGGAGUCUCACGUCUUCUCCCAGCAUCCAUAAACUCUAGCAGGGUAACUUGUUAGUUUGCAAGUAGGCCCUUCACGGUGUGCUCGUUUUAACGCACUUCUGCAAAAUUUAUUUUAAAAUCUGCUAGACCAGGGCUAAGCAAUUCUGUAAUUAUUACCUUCAAGAUAGUGUUUGCUCUCUUUCCAUACUUUAGAGAUGAAGUGUUAUCAGAAACGUGACUGAAACAUUUCUUCCUCUUAAGA
rnacentral:lncRNA from 10 species